rnacentral:lncRNA from 1 species
GGCUCCCACAGACCAUCUGUCAAUGGUCACUGUCACAUGCAAACACGUGUGUUUAUCUGAUUGCUGAGACAGCGCUCAGACUUGGCGUGCUGCCUCUUACAGAUCUCCGAAGAGUUAGCCUCACAGAAACCUCUGGAUGUGGAGAUGGCUGGCUGACAUCAUAGGAUACUCAGAAAUGAACUUGGGGUUAAGACAACAACAUAUUGACAUAAUAUAAAUAUGAAAAUCCAAACAAGAAAUCAAAGUGCCAGGAGUUUUAAAGUUUUAUGAAGGUGUGCGUUCUGGUCAAUGCAAGCAGAACUUGAAACAGGUAAGUGUGCUGCAAAUCUUCUGGGUUUGAUUUUUUGUUUGCUUUGCAUAUAACCCUCUUUUAUAACAAAUUUGUAUACAAGUGCUAUUAGAGAAUGAAU